UCUGGCUUAUGGAGGGGGAUAACCAUUGGAAACGGUGGCUAAUACCGCAUGAUGUCGCAAGACCAAAGUGGGGGACCUUARGGCCUCACGCCAUGAGAUGAACCCAGAUGAGAUUAGCUAGUAGGUGCGGUAAUGGCGUACCUAGGCGACGAUCUCUAGCUGGUCUGAGAGGAUGACCAGCCACACUGGAACUGAGAGACGGUCCAGACUCCUACGGGAGGCAGCAGUGGGGAAUAUUGCACAAUGGGCGGAAGCCUGAUGCAGCCAUGCCGCGUGUGUGAAGAAGGCCUUAGGGUUGUAAAGCACUUUCAGCGGGGAGGAAGGCGGUAAGAGUAAUAUGCUUAUCRAUUGACGUUACCCGCAAAAGAAGCACCGGCUAACUCCGUGCCAGCAGCCGCGGUAAUACGGAGGGUGCGAGCGUUAAUCGGAAUAACUGGGCGUAAAGRGCAUGUAGGCGGUAAGUUAAGUCAGAUGUGAAAUCCCCGAGCUUAACUUGGGAACGGCAUUUGAGACUGGCUGGCUAGAGUUUUGUAGAGGGGGGUAGAAUUCCAGGUGUAGCGGUGAAAUGCGUAGAGAUCUGGAGGAAUACCGGUGGCGAAGGCGGCCCCCUGGACAAGGACUGACGCUGANGUGCGAAAGCGUGG
rnacentral:rRNA from 1 species